GUGAGAUGCAAUUACUGAUUUUCAUGUUAAAACAAAAAAAAAAAUAUGGUAUAACACCUGCUGUUUUCUAAAUCUGCAGGAAUCCAAGUUAUCCAUUGUGAAUAGAAAAUGCAAGGCUCCUGAACAGACCUGGGAUCCGCCCCUGGGCAGGGCCAGCUCCUGCACACUGGAGCCUAUUGCAGGCAAUCAAGCCUGAGGGAUUUAAACCACACGUUGAUGUUCAUUCACUGCCAGUUCGUCAUCAACACAUGUUGGUAACAGGCCUUAUGCUUCAAGUUCUUGCUGUGAUCGAUCUUGUUAACACGACUCUCUUGUGCUGCAGUUGCUGUAUUCACCUUGGCUCACGCUCCACCU
ensembl:lncRNA